GGACGACGCUGGGCCAAUUGUGCGUCGCCCUCAUGGGUCUCCCGGUUGCGAUACAGCCCGGUAUCGAUCCAGGAUCUGUAGUAAUGAAGCUAGCACUGCGAUGCAGGGCCUUAGACCGCUGCGCCACUCGGGAGGCCCUAAAAGCAAAUAUUUGUUUUUAUGCAUUUUUACAAUAUAAACCAUUUUGACUUUGCAGCUGGCCCAUCUAGCGGAAAUUGCUCAGUUCUGCCUCAAGGACUUAUCCCAAUCAACGUCAACCUAACUUUGCUUGAAAGUAGGCUACUUCUUGAAGAUAGGCUUUGUAAACUAGCACAUCUUUACUAGUGCGCCCCCAUCAAGAGAUGGUCAAUUAUCAUUAUUUUGUUCAUUCACGAGUCCUGGGGGUCAUAGGUGCCUUUUGCACUGUAAUGGCGGCACAUUAAGCCUGCUUUCAGUAAGCAUGUCCUCUACAACUCCUAAAGAUGUUUUAUUUGUUCUUCUUUCCAGGACAGAUCCUUGAGGUUAAAAUCCUCUUUUAAAAGGGUGACCACCAUAGUCUGUCUAAGAUAUAUGGAUUAAACAAUAUCCAUUCAUCAUUAAUGUCUGAUUGGUUUUUCUUUGUUACCCAGACAAUACUACUUCCUCAAUAUCUGAAGGGUUCUGCUGCAGAGUUGCCGGUCAUGACAACUGUGUAGAAUAGCCACAUCAAAGUAAGCACGGUAUGUUAGUUGUCUCGGUGUGUGUGUGUCCGUCUCAGAUUCUUCCUCCAGAGGUUCAACCCGGGGCCCGUGUCCUGACUGAAAAAGAGACCAAGGCCUUCAUGUCUGCUGCUGAUGAUGACAGCGACGGCAUGAUUGGAGCAGAUGAGUUCCAGGCCAUGGUCCUAUCCUGAAUACCUGUACAACACCCUCCAUACCUCUUUCUGCCCACAGAGUUCCAGGCCAUGGUCCUAUCCUGAAUACCUGUACAACACCCUCCAUACCUCUUUCUGCCCACGGAGUUUCAGGCCAUGGUCCUAUCCUGAAUACCUGUACAACACCCUCCAUACCUCUUUCUCCUCGCCCCACUCCAGCGCUAGGAUUUAUAACUUUACUUUUCCAUCUGUCAAUCUAUUUGGAAACAUUUAUUCUUUUUUGCAAGCCUCCGGUUCAGACUACCUACAACUCACUGAUUUUUAUUUUUGCUUUUUGCAUAUGUUUUAGACAGGUCAUUAUAUUAUUGCCCAAAAUGUAUCACUUACCAAAUUACUGAGAAAAUAAAAUAAUAAAAUGCAUUCUAAAAUCUC